GAUGAACGCUAGCGGCAGGCUUAACACAUGCAAGUCGAGGGGUAUAGUUCUUCGGAGCUAGAGACCGGCGCACGGGUGCGUAACGCGUAUGCAAUCUACCUUUUGCAGAGGGAUAGCCCAGAGAAAUUUGGAUUAAUACCUCAUGGUAUGUGAGAAUGGCAUCAUUUUCACAUUAAAGUCACAACGGCAAAAGAUGAGCCUGCGUCCCAUUAGCUAGUUGGUAAGGUAACGGCUUACCAAGGCAACGAUGGGUAGGGGUCCUGUGAGGGAGAUCCCCCACACUGGUACUGAAACACGGACCAGACUCCUACGGGAGGCAGCAGUGAGGAAUAUUGGACAAUGGGCGCAAGCCUGAUCCAGCCAUGCCGCGUGCAGGAUGACGGUCCUAUGGAUUGUAAACUGCUUUUGUACAGGAAGAAACACUGGUUCGUGAACCAGCUUGACGGUACUGUAAGAAUAAGGAUCGGCUAACUCCGUGCCAGCCGCCGCAGUAACAC
rnacentral:rRNA from 1 species